rnacentral:rRNA from 1 species
AUGCUGGAGGUAUCAGAAGUGCGAAUGCUGACGUGAGUAACGACAAAACGGGUGAAAAACCCGUUCGCCGAAAGACCAAGGGUUCCAGUCCAACGUUAAUCGGGGCUGGGUGAGUCGACCCCUAAGGCGAGGCCGAAAGGCGUAGUCGAUGGGAAAAUGGUUAAUAUUCCAUUACUUCUGUGUAAUGCGAUGAGAGGACGGAGAAGGCUAAAUCAGCCUGGCGUUGGUUGUCCAGGUGAAAGGAUGUAGGCAUGUAUCUUAGGCAAAUCCGGGGUACUCUAUGCUGAGAUCUGAUAGCAAGCUGUACUUGUACAGCGAAGUGGUUGAUGCCAUGCUUCCAGGAAAAGUCUCUAAGCUUCAGUUACACAGGAAUCGUACCCGAAACCGACACAGGUGGUCAGGUCGAGUAGACCAAGGCGCUUGAGAGAACUCUGCUGAAGGAACUAGGCAAAAUGGUACCGUAACUUCGGGAGAAGGUACGCUGUUGUUGGUGAUGGAACUCGCUUCCUGAGCUGACGACAGCCGCAGAAACCAGGCCGCUGCAACUGUUUAUUAAAAACAUAGCACUCUGCAAACACGAAAGUGGACGUAUAGGGUGUGAUGCCUGCCCGGUGCUGGAAGGUUAAUUGAUGGGGUUAGCGUAAGCGAAGCUCUUGAUCGAAGCCCCAGUAAACGGCGGCCGUAACUAUAACGGUCCUAAGGUAGCGAAAUUCCUUGUCGGGUAAGUUCCGACCUGCACGAAUGGCAUAAUGAUGGCGGCGCUGUCUCCAGCAGAGGCUCAGUGAAAUCGAAAUCGCUGUGAAGAUGCAGUGUACCCGCGGCUAGACGGAAAGACCCCGUGAACCUUUACUGCAGCUUGACACUGAACUUUGACCUUACUUGUGUAGGAUAGGUGGGAGGCUUUGAAGCUGGAACGCUAGUUCCAGUGGAGCCGUCCUUGAAAUACCACCCUGGUAAUGUUGAGGUUCUAACUCUGUCCCGUGAUCCGGGACGAGGACCGUGUCUGGUGGGUAGUUUGACUGGGGCGGUCUCCUCCUAAAGAG